rnacentral:rRNA from 1 species
AUUGAACGCUGGCGGAAUGCUUUACACAUGCAAGUCGAACGGCAGCACGGGGCAACCUGGUGGCGAGUGGCGAACGGGUGAGUAAUAUAUCGGAACGUGCCCAAUCGUGGGGGAUAACGUAGCGAAAGUUACGCUAAUACCGCAUACGAUCUACGGAUGAAAGCGGGGGAUCGCAAGACCUCGCGCGAAUGGAGCGGCCGAUAUCAGAUUAGGUAGUUGGUGGGGUAAAGGCUCACCAAGCCAACGAUCUGUAGCUGGUCUGAGAGGACGACCAGCCACACUGGAACUGAGACACGGUCCAGACUCCUACGGGAGGCAGCAGUGGGGAAUUUUGGACAAUGGGCGCAAGCCUGAUCCAGCCAUUCCGCGUGCAGGAUGAAGGCCUUCGGGUUGUAAACUGCUUUUGUACGGAACGAAACGGUCUGCCCUAAUACGGCAGGCUAAUGACGGUACCGUAAGAAUAAGCACCGGCUAACUACGUG